UGACAUCAGAUCUGUAAGUUUAUUUGCUCAAUGUACGACAGCUACAUAAUGACUCACAUUCAUGAUAUUCCAUCACUGACUAAAUAAAACAAAGAAACAAACAAAUCUGGUGUUGUUACCUAUCUCAGCAGUUCAUGCUAUUACUUGUAAAAAAGGCUGAACGCACAUGCAACAGGUCGUGUUUUCAGAAAGACUUAUCCAAAAUGAGAACGAAGGACCUAAGGCUGAUUGAAACAAACGUGUGGAAAGAGCGUGGUGGUUUCCAUCGAUUCUAAAACGUGCCAAGAUGGCACAAUCCAAUCUCCAACUUCUAUAUUUUCAUUAAAAGGAAAAAAUUAGAAAAAAUUGUGGUCAAAUAGGAGUUGAGGAUUUAUUAUCUGAUAAUGAUGCUAUUUUCCUACAACAAUUCUUUGGGGAAGGAGUGUUUUCACGGAGGAAAAACAGAUACACGAGGUUCCCAAAACUGGACAGAAUGUUCAUGGAGAGAGCUCUUCCUUCAGGAUUUUUCUACCAGUAAGCUCCUAGCACCUGAAUUUUCACACACUGCACCACGAACCUUCUCAAAAUGACCGCCAGCUUCUACAACCCAACAGCUUUUCAACCCAUCCGUGUGCAUGCUGUGGGAA
rnacentral:lncRNA from 1 species